CAUGGUCGCAUCGGAGGGUUCCCGCGACGUCACUUCCUCGUUACGCUGACGCGAAGCGCCGGGCGGAGGCUCCGACGAGCGGCCAGCUGGAAACGCUGGGAAGAUUGCAUGCACGUGAAGGGGGUGUUUCCAUGGUCGCAUCGGAGGGUUCCCGCGACGUCACUUCCUGGUUACGCUGACGCGAAUCGCCGGGCGGAGGCUCCGACGAGCGGCCAGCUGGAAACGCUGGGAAGAUUGCAUGCACGUGAAAGGGGGGUCCCCAUUAUGAACUACGGGAGAAGAAUAUUCUAAAGAUAUUUCAACAUGCAAGCAUCACGAGUCCUGAGGGUACUUAUUUUUAUACUACCCUAGGUGGUGGGCACACCAUUUAGUUGGCUAAUGUGACACUGGGUGUACUAUUUAACUAAAGGCAUAACCACUAAUCACAUCGGAAAUUUUGAUAUAUGCACACCUCUUUACAUGUUGGCAAUAUUACACUAUCUUUCACUUUUCGCUUUUCUAAUUUCCUUACGGACCAUCUACGGAGUCAGUGGGAAAGCUAGACGAUCGGCAUCAGGAGAAACACGUUUUUUACUACAUGCUUGAAAUACAUAUGGGAUGCGGUACACAUAUUAUUAUUUAAUUUGCACUUGGAAUUCGUCUAACACAGAAGGCGCUGGGUUCUACCACUUUGUAUAUUUUACCUACCUGGACUUUUGAAAGAGAGUCCAUGCAAGAGGACCCUUUUAGCAGCCCCCCUAAACAGGGGAAGUGUUUUUGAACUUUGACUCUGACUGACUAUUGUAUUCAUAUUUCUUAAAUAUUAGUCUUGUUAUCUAGGUAGCAGCG